rnacentral:rRNA from 1 species
GACGAACGCUGGCGGCGUGCUUAACACAUGCAAGUCGAGCGGUAAGGCCCUUUCGGGGGUACACGAGCGGCGAACGGGUGAGUAACACGUGGGUGACCUGCCCUCAGCUCUGGGAUAAGCCUGGGAAACCGGGUCUAAUACUGGAUAUGACUCCAUGACGCAUGUUGUGGGGUGGAAAGCCUUGUGCGGCUGAGGAUGGGCCCGNGGCCUAUCAGCUUGUUGGNGGGGUGANGGCCUAUCAAGGCGACGACGGGUAGCCGGCCUGAGAGGCGACCGGCCACACUGGGACUGAGACACGGCCCAGACUCCUACGGGAGGCAGCAGUGGGGAAUCUUGCGCAAUGGGCGAAAGCCUGACGCAGCGACGCCGCGUGAGGGAUGACGGCCUGGU